GACGAACGCUGGCGGCGUGCUUAACACAUGCAAGUCGAACGGAAAGGCCCUGCUUGCGGGGUACUCGAGUGGCGAACGGGUGAGUAACACGUGGGUGUUCUGCCCUCCACUUCUUGAUAUACCUUGGAGACUGUGGGUAAUACCGGAGAGAAGACAUUUUGAGUGUGAGGGUGGGAAAGAUUUUUCGGUGUAGGAUGGGCUCGCGGGCUAUCAGCUUGUUGGUUGGGUAAUGGGCUACCAAGGCGGUGACGGGUAGGCGGCCCGGGAGGGUGGACGGCCACAUUGGGACUGAGGUAACGCCCAGACUCCUACGGGGGGGAGGAGGGGGGAAUAUUGCACAAUGGGCGCAAGGCUGAUGCAACGACGCCGCGUGGGGGAUGACGGCCUUCGGGUUGGAAACUCCCUUCGGUAGGGAAGGAGGCUUGUGUGACGGUACCUAGUAAAGAAGCACCGGCUAACUACGUG
rnacentral:rRNA from 1 species